CCCCUGCCCAGACCCCGUGCUUCCCGCCCAGGGCGCCACGGAGGGUGCUGGGGACAGGCGACUCGGCGUGCCCGACAAACGUGACCCAAGACACACACUGCCCAUUUCGAAAUUGUUUUCAGUGGCAAACGCAAACAGAAGAGGCUGCGGCUGCGCUCAGAGCAGCGGUCCCUGGUGCCAGGUCAGGGGGACUCGGGUCAGGAGGGCAGGGCAACCGGGGCACCAGGAGGUCAGGGGACCCUCAAGACAACAGGACACUGGGGUGUUCUCCAGGAGGCCGCACCUGGCUCACACGGCGGGACUCGGAACCAACUGUCCCCACUGUGGCCCUCACCUGGCAUCUGGAAAAGGAGAGACGGCACCAGGAGAGGUUUUUUAAAGUGCUCUUUACUAUGAAACGUUAAGAGGCUGGUCAAGGGGCGCCCGGGGGACUCAGGGGUUGAGCAGCUGCCUUGGGCCCAGGGCAUGACCCGGGGGGCCCAGGAUCGAGUCCCGCAUCGGGAUCCCCACGGGGAGCCUGCUUCUCCCUCUGCCUGUGUGUCCGCCUCUCUCAUGAAUAAAUAAAUUAAAUACUUAAAAAAAAAAAAAGAGGCGGGUUGGGUGGGCCCCAGCUUCUCGCCUGCCCCCCUCCGUCCCCCUCCCAGAAAUGCUGGCCAUGGGGGAGCUCACCGUGGCGGUGGCAGCACCGCUAGUGCCGGGGCUGGGCACCACCAGCAAGGCAGGCCAGGUCCCAGCAGACCCUCGGGGCCGCCUGGCGGUUCUGACGCCCACCCUCUGAGGGCUGGGAAGGACUGUCCCCAGCACCAAGGACACUGUGGGUCACACGUGGCUCCCUACUCGGGACACGGGGGCAUGGGGACGCAGGCCUCACCCUGGGUGCCUGGUGGGAUGAUGGUCUCCACUCCUGUAGCUUGCGGUGAAUAUGCACGAGGAUGCCAGGUCCGGCGCCACAGGAAACCCGAGCACACACACAGGUGUACCUGGGAGCCCACCAGGUGGAAACCCCCGGGGCCUCCGCCCACACAUGUGCGCUCCGCCCUGCAUCUGCGCCACACAGGCAGCAGGUGCAGGCCGAGCACCGGUGGAUCCACGCCCCUGCCUGGCCUGUGGGCGGCGCCGCGGGUGCUUCUGGGCGCAGGCUUCCUGCGGCAGCUGCUUCCUUGUGCAGAGGCGGGAUGGCGCUCAGGGCUCAGGGCACAGGGGCUAGACCUGUAAGCAGCAACGGAGAUCCAUACACGUUUCCUGCGUUGAGCGACGCCGAGGAAGAUGAGGCUCCUUCCUUGACGAUGGGUCAGCAGCGCUGGGGAGAGGCGGUAAAGCACAGCACCCCGCAGGAAGGCUCCCCCCGCCUGCGCAGGCGGCCGCCGGGCGAGGUCCCCUCCCGCCAGGGCGAGGGCCCCGAGCCCUGGUCCCGGCGGCCUGCGCGCGCCCCCCGGAGCACCCCAUCCCUCCGGGCAGGGCCUGGGCGCUCGGCCCCCCUGCAGACCCCGCGGCUCUCCAACGGCCGGGCCUCCAGGGCGGCUCGCGGGCAGCCAGGGCCCCGCUCAGGGCACCCCGCUCCCAAGGAGGACCCGCCCGCACAGGCCUCGGUCACGCGGCAGCAGCACGCGGAGUCCUGCGCACCAAGGAGCUGGCCUGGCCCCACGGGGCUGCCCGGGAUCCCAAGCGCGGCCAGGAGGAGGCGGAGGGACCCGGAGAAGAUGGCAGCCGAGAGGGAGCGCGUGCGCCAGUGGGAGGCCCGCCAGCUUUGGGACAUCGAGGAGGCCACUCAGCAUGAGCUCACCCUCCAGGACGAGUGA
rnacentral:lncRNA from 1 species